ACGGGAGGCAGCAGUGGGGAAUAUUGCACAAUGGGCGCAAGCCUGAUGCAGCAACGCCGCGUGAGUGAUGAAGGUUUUCGGAUCGUAAAACUCUGUUCUAAGGGAAGAAUAAAUGACGGUACCUUAGAAGCAAGCCCCGGCUAACUACGUGCCAGCAGCCGCGGUAA
rnacentral:rRNA from 1 species